UUUUUUUUUUCUUUUUUUCCCUGCUUGGUACAUGUCAGAUGUUAAUCAAAGGUACAUUGUAAAUAAAUACCAAGUGGGCCACAGUGCCUCUGAAAUAGGGGAACUACUGAUCCAUGCAGGGUUUUUCUCUGUUCCACCUCUAAACACUCAACAGAGGCAGUAGGUACAAGGGAUAGAAGUAAAAAUGGAAGGUGUGUUUGGCAGAUGUUGUUUUCCAAAACCUAUGAACUCUUCCUUUCCUCAGCAGUUCUUACUGCUGCUUUCCAUCAUAGGGAGAGGCCCAAUUUAUAGGCUUUAUUUUUCCUGCAAUUGGAGGGAGCUGAAGAGGAAUCCUGAACUCUAUCUCUGAAUCUUGGGGUCAGCAAGCCAUCAGCCUAUCACUGUCAUCACCACAGCUGGAGCUUUAUGCUCAAGUGACAGAUCACUGUCUAAAUCUGCUGCUACAGACUUGGGCCACUGUGUUUUUACCAUUUGUAAAGGAAGGUUAUAAUGUCUGUAAAAAUGGAUAAAAUGGUGUCUUAAACCUUAGAUGUACCAUGUCAGCCAUUUAAUGGUUACAGGCAUCACUUUGCUUACACAAACUGCCCUUCAGCAGAAAACCAUCCCAGAGGUCCCAAGAAGCUACAGGAUCAUCACCAUGUAACCUACCUUGCUCACAGAAGUGCUGCAAGUCUCUGUCCAAAUCUCCAUCCUGCAGAACUGAUCCCACAAAAGAAAGCCUUUCUGGCCUUUCUGCCCUUCCCCCUUUGCAUUAAGAUUCUCAGUCUCUCAUUACUUUCUCUAAACUUUAUGCAAAUCUUCACCACAGUCAUGCUCACUCUCCAGAUUUUCAUCAGCUCAAAACCAGCACAUCUCCUUGAACUGUUGCCUCCACAGGAAGGGCUGGUGGAUAAAAAGGGGCACAGAUUACUCUCUGUGCUGUUAAAACAGUUGCCUGUGUUGUUGCUGGGGUUUGCUCAUCAUUAAUCAACCAAAACUUUGGGGAAAAAAAGAAUCUAAACAAAAGUUGUAUUUACAUUCACACUGUAUCUGCUGUCUUACCCCCUUAUUCCUACUGUAGUUUUGUGCUGUUUGUGGGAUGUUUGUUGGAGAUACUUGUGCCACAGGCAAAUCUGUAUUGCUUUCUUGUCACUCAUCACCGUGGAAUGCAGCAGCCUUCUUGACUUCUCUGAGACGUCUUACUAUACCCCACAUUGCUUACAUAAGACUAAGCACAUUCACAGUCUUUCAAACUGUCAAAAGUCACUGUUUACUUCAUUCUUUCAUCUUAACAACUUGUCUAAUUAGCAUCACAUUCCCUCUGUACAUUAAAAGUCAGGAAUAAGGAAGAUUGAAGAAUCAUGCAAUUCAUACAAAGCACUUACAUUAACUAUGCUUUUUCUUCCUCAGUACUUUAUUUUAAUCCCAUUCAAUUUCAGUAAGAGUGUAACUGAGUUCUUAGCAUACAAAAUCAUCAGUGCAUGCUCAAACUGCCAUGCAUGUUAAAAGCACAAUUUAAACACCAGCAACAGACAUGUAUGAAUCAACUUCUUUUGAAGCACCAAAAAAAGAUGGCCAUUUCCCCCCCCCCACCACCACAUGCACUUGCUGUGAGUAAAAUGACUGUUGGAGUGGAUAAAGUCCUGUGAAAAUAAUUUGACAGAGAAACCAUUGCCCACUGCUCUUUGUUUCUAAUGACAUGUUAAAAAAAUGUAUUAAAUUGGCAUUAUAAAAUAAUAGUAUCAAAAAAGAAAAAUGCACGUAUCCUAUACUUCUGUUGAUGGCGUGCGUAUAUUUUUGUCAAGGUUUCCUAAGGAUUUCUGCUGCUGACAAGUCUUCUCUUAAUAGCAAAGUAAGUUGAAACAUAAAGUUUGUUCUUCCCCUGCCCAGCACCACUGUAGGAGCAAAUUUAUUUCCCACACUUUACAACAGUGUUUUAAGUGUCCCCUGGCACACCCAUACCAGCUCUAAGUCAAACUGUGCUCAGUGAGUCAGGCUGUUGGCUUUUGUGAGGUCUGACUAUUCACAGGCCAUUCCAUCUGUGCUGCUUGUGGCCAGCAGACAGGGUCAAAAAAGCCCAAGUGAUACUUGGAGGGUGCCUGCUCUCAUUCAGCCAUUCUGGGAAAAGAUCAGAGGAAUGAAAAAAUUGUCCUCAGUCAAAGGUUCCAUUAGAUAAAGCGCAUCCCUGUUUAGGAGAUCCAGUUUGUCACUCUUAAAAAAAAAAAAAAAAAAAAAAAAAAAAAAG
rnacentral:lncRNA from 1 species